GCUUAAUUCCUACUGAUACCAUUGCAGAGUGGAUCCAUGGAAAACACUGGGUAGGAAAAAAAGAAAACCUUGAAAUAUUAGCUUCAAUGAAGGAAAAUCUGGAUAACUUAUUCUUAUGAAUCUGAAACAAUUUAAGAAAACAAAUGACUGCUUGAUUUUUGUGCCAAUUGAAUAGAAUGGGAUUCAAUUUUUAAUAGCAAGUUGGCAUGGCUAAGUAAGGUCCCUGGGAUUCUCUUGCAAUGCCGUGAAAGCAAAAGGACAGCUCUCCUAACAAGAAGCCAAGAUUGCUACAGGAGGCUGAGGAGAGGAAAAAGCCCUUUUCUCAUCACCAUUGAUUCCUUCAGUCUCCAUGAUUUCCUCUCAAGAACUGCCAUUUGUUGCUGUAGAUGGCCCAGUUGCAGACGUGCCUGAGUUCAGCAUAGUGUUGAGGAGAAUCCCAGAGAUCUGAAUCCCAGGAGAAGUCAGCCCAUCCUGCUGUUCGUGGGAAUCUAUAAAGGAGGUGCACAAAGCUCCAGUUGCCCCUGAUUUGAGAGAUGUCUCCAGAGCAGCACUUGUUCCUGGAAAAGUUUGAGAGCCUGUGUCCAAGACGCUCUCCAACUUACUCACUUGGAAGGACUCCAG